UUAAAUUGGUUUCCCUAUCUGAAAUUUUUGGUUUCUGAAAUCCAUUCUGUAAUCCUCCAUAUUGAUGUGUACACUCAAUGCGCAAAAAUUAACAUUUCGUCUGCAAUCACGUGUGAAGUUAUGCAACUAAUAAGAGGCCUAGAAGUCUGUCCUAUAUAUGUUCUGGAACAAUCCAUUCAAAUUCCAUAAAGUUCAAAAUUUUGUAUAUUGUGUUGAACACAAUAUACAAAAUUUCAUGUAUGGAUUGUUCCAAAACAUAUAUAGGGCAGACUUCUAGGUCUCACCACGUGUGUAUGUAUACUCAUAUAAUGAAAAAGUUAACAAUCGGACUCAACAAACCCGUGAAAUUUAAACCGACCUUCCAAUUUAAAAAAUUUCAUGAGGUAACUCUGGAGAAGUGAGGGAACGAAGAGAAUAGGUGUAUCAAUUAUGUUUUCCGAUAGGUACGGUUUUGUCUUGAUUUUUUUUUUACUAAGAUUUUUGAGGCAAACACCCUGAUGUAUGUUUUAUUCAAAGAAACGACAAAAUUGUGAUGUGUACUUUGAGAGUAUCAAGUCUAACAUAUGCUCUUGCUAAAGUAUGUACUUGAAUGUAACCACCGCUUUAAUAGAUGGUACUGGUUGAGAAAACGUGUGUGUGAUGCAAUGAAGAGUAGAAAAAACGGGCAGUUUCAAAUUAAUGAUAUUUUCCAUUUUGCAGAAUCCGGACAGGAUGGUAUUAAUUACAAAUCGAAGCAAAAGUUGAAAAAAAAGUUGCAAGAGUUGGAGGAAGAAAAUAAUUUACUGAGGCUGAAAUAUGAAAUGAUUCUUAAUAUGCUAACACAAACUACUGCAGAAGGGGAAAUUCAAAAAACAGAAAUAGAAAAAAGUAAAAAUAAGAGAAAAUAAAGCUCAAAAAUAUAUUUA